AUUCAUUAACAAAGUUAAUCUAGGCUUAAUUAGCAGCUAAAUUUACGUGUCCUUCUUGUAGAGAUAAGCCCUCAGAAAUUUAUAUAAAUGUCUUCUAACUUAUACAAACCACCAUAAUCAGCUUUGUCAUUAAUUUUAUGUGUAUUGUUUCUAUUUAGAAAAUACAGAGAAGUUGACCAAGGCCAUGACAUACACACAAGGCCAAACUAGACAAAGAAAUCACCAUUCCUAAUAACAAUGUGGGGAGUGAGGAUCAGAUGGCUACUCUUUAGAAUUUGAAAGUCUGUCAGCUCUCUACAGAUGGAAAAUAGAGGCCAGUUAACAUCUCACCAUCACCUAGCUACAGUUGCUAAGCAACUGAGAGAACUGUG
rnacentral:lncRNA from 1 species